rnacentral:rRNA from 1 species
UACGUAGGGGGCAAGCGUUGUCCGGAUUUAUUGGGCGUAAAGAGCGUGUAGGCGGCCAGGUAGGUCCGUUGUGAAAACUGGAGGCUUAACCUCCAGCUGUCGAUGGAAACCAUCUGGCUAGAGUCCGGAAGAGGAGAGUGGAAUUCCUGGUGUAGCGGUGAAAUGCGUAGAUAUCAGGAAGAACACCCGUGGCGAAGGCGGCUCUCUGGGACGGUACUGACGCUGAGACGCGAAAGCGUGGGGAGCGAAACAGG